GACGAACGCUGGCGGCGUGCCUAAUACAUGCAAGUAGGACGCAGUUGCGAACGGGUGAGUAACGCGUAGGUAACUACCUAUUAGAGGGUGCUAACUAUUGUAAACGAUAGCUAAUACCGCCUGCUAGUAGAUGGACCUGCGGUGUAUUAGCUAGUAUGUAGGGUAAUGGCCUACCUAGGCAACGAUACAUAGCCGACCUGGGGGGGUGAUCUGCCAACCUUGGAACGAAGAACGGCCCAGAAUUCUACGGGAGGCAGCAGGAGGGAAUCUUCGCCAAUGGGGCGAAACCUGACCGAGCAAAGCCGCGGGAGUGAAGGAGGGUUUCGGAUCGUAAAGCUCUGUUGUUAAGGAAGCGGUACUUAACCAGAAAGGGACGGCUAACUACGUGCCAGCAGCCGCGGUAAUUC
rnacentral:rRNA from 1 species